GUGCAAGCGUGUCCGGAUUUACUGGUUUAAAAGAUCCGUAGGCGGGACUGUCAGUCGGCGAUGAAAUCAGGUGGCUCAACCAUCUGGCUGUUGCCGAAACUGCAGUUCUUGAAUUAGAUUGAGGUAGCUGGAAUAGGCAGUGUAGCGGUGAAAUGCGUAGAGAUUGCCUAGAACACCGAUUGCGAAGGCAGGUUACUAAGUCUAUAUUGACGCUGAUGGAUGAAAGCGUGGGGAGCGAGCAGGAUUAGAUACCCUGGUAGUCCACGCCGUAAACGAUGGAUACUCGCUGCUCCAACACUUGAGUUGGAGUGGCUGCGCGAAAGCAUUAAGUAUCCCACCUGGGGAGUACGCCCGCAAGGGUGAAACUCAAAGGAAUUGACGGGGGCCCGCACAAGUGGUGGAGCAUGUGGUUUAAUUCGAUGAUACGCGAGGAACCUUACCUGGGCUCGAAUGGUACCGGAAGGUCCCCGAAACGGGACUGUUUCUUCGGAACUGGUAUCAAGGUGCUGCAUGGUUGUCGUCAGCUCGUGCCGUGAGGUGUUGGGUUAAGUCCCGCAACGAGCGCAACCCCUAUAGUUAGUUGCCAGCAGGUAAAGCUGGGGACUCUAGCUAGACUGCCCGUGCAAGCGGAGAGGAAGGCGGGGACGACGUCAAAUCAUCAUGGCCCUUACGCCCAGGGCUACACACGUGCUACAAUGGCCGGUACAGCAGGCAGCGACCCCGCGAGGGCAAGCAAAUCCGCAAAAACCGGUCUCAGUUCGGAUCGUAGUCUGCAACUCGACUACGUGAAGCCGGAAUCACUAGUAAUCGCGUAUCAGCAAUGACGCGGUGAUACGUUCCCGGGCAUUGUACACACCGCCCGUCAAGCCACGGAAGCUGGGGUGCCUGAAGUCG
rnacentral:rRNA from 1 species